rnacentral:rRNA from 1 species
GAUGAACGCUGGCGGCGUGCCUAAUACAUGCAAGUCGAGCGAACGGACGAGAAGCUUGCUUUUCUGAUGUUAGCGGCGGACGGGUGAGUAACACGUGGAUAACCUACCUAUAAGACUGGGAUAACUUCGGGAAACCGGAGCUAAUACCGGAUAAUAUUUUGAACCGCAUGGUUCAAAAGUGAAAGACGGUCUUGCUGUCACUUAUAGAUGGAUCCGCGCUGCAUUAGCUAGUUGGUAAGGUAACGGCUUACCAAGGCAACGAUGCAUAGCCGACCUGAGAGGGUGAUCGGCCACACUGGAACUGAGACACGGCCCAGGCUCCUACGGGAGGCAGCAGUAGGGAAUCUUCCGCAAAGGGCGAAAGCCUGACGGAGCAACGCCGCGUGAGUGAUGAAGGUCUUCGGAUCGUAAAACUCUGUUAUUAGGGAAGAACAUAUGUGUAAGUAACUGUGCACAUCUUGACGGUACCUAAUCAGAAAGCCACGGCUAACUACGUG